GAUGAAGAACGUAGUGAAAUGCGAUAAGUAAUGUGAAUUGCAGAAUUCAGUGAAUCAUCGAAUCUUUGAACGCACAUUGCGCCCGUCAGUAUUCUGGCGGGCAUGCCUGUUCGAGCGUCAUUACGCCCCUCAAGUCCCCUGUGGACUUGGUGUUGGGGAUCGGCGAGGCUGGUUUUCCAGCACAGCCGUCCCUUAAAUUAAUUGGCGGUCUCGCCGUGGCCCUCCUCUGCGCAGUAGUAAAACACUCGCAACAGGAGCCCGGCGCGGUCCACUGCCGUAAAACCCCCCAACUUUUUAUAGUUGACCUCGAAUCAGGUAGGACUACCCGCUGAACUUAAGCAUAUCAAUAAGGGGA
rnacentral:misc_RNA from 1 species